GCAAGUAAGUCAGAAAGAAGCCCUGUGCUCCAACUCCUGGAAGAUGGGAGCCAGAGGAAAAGAAGCAGCCAAAGGAGCUGCCAGGCUGAAGCUGGGAAAGGACAGCACAGGCAGGAGGCCCCACAGGACAGGCCCUCAUGGGAAACUGCUCCCGCCUGGCCCCCAACAGCCUCGUGGAGCAGUCAAGAAUCAGCCUCGCAGGCAAAGGAGAAGCCCUUUCCAUGAGGAGCACUGCUCUUUCCUCUUCCAACAACUGCUGCGUCCCACCCAGCAGCCCAGCUGCUGUGCAAGCCCACCACUGAGAGACCCUCAGCUCCUCUGAGCCAUAUCACAUCGUCCAUCUUGGUGACCUUGGGUCUUUGACCUCUGUUCGUCUCAGCUGUCUCAUGCAUUCACUCAGGAAGGCGCCACCUUCCUGGCCCUGCUGUCUCUUUGGGAUCCAACCAAGCUUCUUCUUCUCCAAACCCCUGUUC
rnacentral:lncRNA from 1 species